UCGAAGGAAGGCAGAUUAAUUAAGCUAUAU
rnacentral:piRNA from 1 species